rnacentral:rRNA from 1 species
UGCAAGUCGAACGGUGAAGAGAAGCUUGCUUCUCGGAUCAGUGGCGGACGGGUGAGUAACACGUGAGCAACCUGCCUUUAAGAGGGGGAUAACGUUUGGAAACGAACGCUAAUACCGCAUAACAUAGAAGAUUCGCAUGUUUCUUCUAUCAAAGAUUUAUCGCUUAAAGAUGGGCUCGCGUCUGAUUAGCUGGUUGGUGAGGUAACGGCUCACCAAGGCGACGAUCAGUAGCCGUACUGAGAGGUAGAACGGCCACAUUGGGACUGAGACACGGCCCAGACUCCUACGGGAGGCAGCAGUGGGGAAUAUUGCACAAUGGAGGGAACUCUGAUGCAGCGAUGCCGCGUGAGGGAAGAAGGUUUAGGAUUGUAAACCUCUGUCUUCAGGGACGAUAAUGACGGUACCUGAGGAGGAAGCUCCGGCUAACUACGUGCCAGCAGCCGCGGUAAUACGUAGGGAGCGAGCGUUGUCCGGAAUUACUGGGUGUAAAGGGAGCGUAGGCGGGAUCUUAAGUCAGGUGUGAAAACUAUGGGCUCAACCCAUAGACUGCACUUGAAACUGAGGUUCUUGAGUGAAGUAGAGGCAGGCGGAAUUCCUAGUGUAGCGGUGAAAUGCGUAGAUAUUAGGAGGAACAUCAGUGGCGAAGGCGGCCUGCUGGGCUUUUACUGACGCUGAGGCUCGAAAGCGUGGGG